GCCGGUGCGGCUCAGUGGGUAGAGCGCCGGCCUGGGGACCGAAGGGUCCCGGGUUCGAUUCCCGGUCAAGGGCA
rfam:Myotis brandtii contig291231, whole genome shotgun sequence.